rnacentral:lncRNA from 1 species
GGACAUCAAGCCAACUGUGACAGCGCAACAAAAGAGGACUUUCAGAACGGAUUCAAAAAGUGGCAAAGAACAAUGGAAUAAGUGUGUUCAAAGCAAGGUGGAGUAUUUUGAGGGAUAUUAAUGGCAAUGUGUCUUUUACUGUAAUAAGCUUUUUUUAAAAAAAAGAUUAAACAUUCACCAUAUCUUGAGAUGUACACUCCUAGCCUUUCUUUAAUUUUCUGACAGGUCUCACUAAGUCACUGUGGAACCCAGGCUUGGCUUGAACUUGAGAUCUUCCUGCCUUUUCCUCUGAGAGUCCUGGCAUUCUGGGCAUGUACCACCAUGUCUGGCUCAGGAGUUAUUUUCUUUAUCUAUUGAUUAAGAAGCUCGAGUACGUAAUCCUUCCUGCAGAAGGACGUGGGCUGUGUUUGUGAAAAGACCAGGUUGUGCUGGCUGCUGUUUGUUUUGUUUGUCUUGACAAUGUGGAUUGUUACCAAACCUAUUGAUCUGCAGCUUUUGGAUCAAUAAGACAUGGUGGAAAUGAGCACCUUGGCCGUGUUGUCUUGUGGCUCACUCACCCCUUCAGAAGUGGAUGGAAAGUAGAUGAGGUUUGGGGGAAGAGGACGCUUGGAGGACUGCAAGUGAUGAACAUCCCUGUAAUGAAUGCCCCAGCCCCAAAUCAAGGUGGGUUUCUUGUGCAUUUAUUCUCCCUGAAGAAGGACUGAAGUGGCGGAAAAAAACAAUUGUGAUUUCAAAAUGCUGAUGCUGGCCAUCCUAAGCAAGGCCUUUGUUGCUGCUGAUUGCCAACUGGGUAUAGAAAAUGAAGCUCAGGGGAGAGGACGGAAACAACAAAGGAAAGGUCACAGUGCUCUGCAUAGAGAAAGAGAAAAAGAUGCUAGAUCACCCUGGGGAGCCUGAGCAUCAUGGCAAGAGGCUGGAAGAGAGAGGAGAAAUCGAAGGACAGAAAGGACUCCUGGGAGCAGGACUAUUGGAGAAAGCCUAUUGUUGGAUGGCAAAACAAAAAAGACAACAUCAUCUCCAGAUGGCAACUGCUGCAUAACACGUACGGUGCCCGGGAGGAAAGAGCAAGCCUUGGACUCUUCUGGUCUUCUCCAACAGAUAUACAGACUGAAGUUCCAGAACGCUCAAUCUGAAACCCGCAGGGAAGCUCGGGGCUGAGAGGUGAGGUCACGAGGCAUGUCCUCGAGCUCUGAGUGGCUGGUCUCUCAGCCUGGUGUCCUUUUUGCUUCAUUCACCACAGUCCUUCAUACACUGCAUUCCCUGAGUGCCAAACAAAUGAGAUGUCGCCAUGUAAUGGCUAAGGCUGGAAAGAUUUUGCUGAGUGCACUGCAAGUGGAAAAUAAAAGUAGAA